rnacentral:misc_RNA from 1 species
GAUGAAGAACGUAGCGAAAUGCGAUAAGUAAUGUGAAUUGCAGAAUUCAGUGAAUCAUCGAAUCUUUGAACGCACAUUGCGCCCCUUGGUAUUCCGGGGGGCAUGCCUGUUCGAGCGUCAUUUCACCACUCAAGCCUGGCUUGGUGUUGGGCGACGUCCCCUUUGGGGACGCGCCUCGAAACGCUCGGCGGCGUGGCACCGGCUUUAAGCGUAGCAGAAUCUUUCGCUUUGGAAGUCGGGGCCCCGUCUGCCGGAAGACCUACUCGCAAGGUUGACCUCGGAUCAGGCAGGGAUACCCGCUGAACUUAAGCAUAUCAAUAAGCGGAGGA